GUUUGAUUUACCUGAUGAUGUUCUCUAUGAACGUUACAGGUUUUCCUCGGACGGCCUCAAUAUUCAGGUAGCAUGAAGUCUAAGCAAUACACUAAAAUUUGCCAAGCUCCAGGUUCAAAUUUGUUAGUCAUCAUUCAGAAUUCAUUGAAGCAGAUUAGAAAACUCUUAACCCCAAAUGUGUCUGCAGAUGACGUGACCAUCAGAUGAUGGAGAAAAAAAAAAGGCAGUGUGAGGAAAUCACUGUUUAUGCGUUGAAAUAUGUACAAAUAAAAUCUUCCAAUAAACUUACAAACUACUUUAAAGGAUGUUUUUAGAUUUAUUUUUAUUUGCUCCCACGUACUCUUUUCCCCACUGCUGUUGUAUCUGAAAUAAUGAGGUCAGUGAUGGUGGUGAUCACACACGCUGCAUGACAAUAUAUUAGGGGGCCAUAAAUUUAUGAACGCACAAAUGUAAUUUACACAACCGGUGAUUUUUUUUUUUUUGCCGGCA
rnacentral:lncRNA from 1 species